GGUUACCUUGUUACGACUUAGUGGCGAACGGGUGAGUAGCGCGUGAACAACCUGCCUUUCUGAGGGGGAUAACACCUGGAAACAAGUGCUAAUACCGCAUAAGACCACAUGUCCGCAUGGACGAGGGGUCAAAGGAGCGAUCCGCAGGAAGAGGGGUUCGCGUCCCAUUAGCUAGUUGGCGGGGCAACGGCCCACCAAGGCGACGAUGGGUAGCCGAGCUGAGAGGCUGAUCGGCCACACUGGAACUGAGACACGGCCCAGACUCCUACGGGAGGCAGCAGUGGGGAAUAUUGGGCAAUGGGCGAAAGCCUGACCCAGCAACGCCGCGUGAAGGAUGAAGGUCUUCGGAUUGUAAACUUCUUUGAUCGGGGAAGAAAAAAAUGACCUACCCGAAGAACAAGCCACGGCUAACUACGUGCCGGCAGCCGCGGUAAUACGUAGGUGGCAAGCGUUAUCCGGAUUUACUGGGUGUAAAGGGCGUGUAGGCGGCUCUGCAAGUCAGAAGCGAAAUUCCUGGGCUCAACCCGGGCGCUGCUUCCGAAACUGCAGAACUUGAGUACUGGAGGGGAUAGCGGAAUUCCUAGUGUAGCGGUAAAAUGCGCAGAUAUUAGGAGGAACACCGGUGGCGAAGGCGGCUAUCUGGACAGUAACUGACGCUGAGGCGCGAAAGUGUGGGGAGCAAACAGGAUUAGAUACCCUGGUAGUCCACACUGUAAACGAUGAUUACUAGGUGUGGGGGGUCUGACCCCUUCCGUGCCGCAGUUAACGUAAUAAGUAAUCCACCUGGGGAGUACGACCGCAAGGUUGAAACUCAAAGGAAUUGACGGGGGCCCGCACAAGCAGUGGAUUAUGUGGUUUAAUUCGAAGCAAUGCGAAGAACCUUACCAGGUCUUGACAUCGAGUGACCGGCUAAGAGAUUAGCCUUUCCUUCGGGACACGAAGACAGGUGGUGCAUGGUUGUCGUCAGCUCGUGUCGUGAGAUGUUGGGUUAAGUCCCGCAACGAGCGCAACCCUUGCCAUUAGUUGCUACGCAAGAGCACUCUAAUGGGACCGCUACCGACAAGGUGGAGGAAGGUGGGGACGACGUCAAAUCAUCAUGCCCCUUAUGACCUGGGCUACACACGUAAUACAAUGGCCGUUAACAAAGGGAAGCAAUACCGCGAGGUGGAGCAAACCCCCAAAAACGGUCCCAGUUCGGAUCGUAGGCUGCAACCCGCCUGCGUGAAGUUGGAAUUGCUAGUAAUCGCGGAUCAGCAUGCCGCGGUGGAUACGUUCCCGGGCCUUGUACACACCGCCCGUCACACCAUGAGAGCCGGGGACACCCGAAGUCCGUAGCCUAACCGCAAGGGGGGCGCGGCCGA
rnacentral:rRNA from 1 species